GAAAUGCGAUAAGUAAUGUGAAUUGCAGAAUUCAGUGAAUCAUCGAAUCUUUGAACGCACCUUGCGCUCCUUGGUAUUCCGAGGAGCAUGCCUGUUUGAGUGUCAUGGUAUCAUCAACCUCCAUCACUUUUGUGAUGGAAGGCUUGGACUUGGAGGUUGUGUCGGUGCAUUCGCAUCGGCUCCUCUGAAAUGUAUUAGCGUGAAUCUUACGGAUCGCCUUCGGUGUGAUAAUUACUGCGCCGUGGAUGUGAAGUAUAACAGUGUUCGUGCUUACAAUCGUCUUGAAGAAAGACAACACUUUGACAAUCUGACCUCAAAUCAGGUAGGAUUACCCGCUGAACUUAA
rnacentral:misc_RNA from 1 species